rnacentral:rRNA from 1 species
CAGUAGCCGCGGUAAUACGUAGGGUGCAAGCGUUAAUCGGAAUUACUGGGCGUAAAGCGUGCGCAGGCGGUUUGUUAAGACAGAUGUGAAAUCCCCGGGCUUAACCUGGGAACUGCAUUUGUGACUGGCAAGCUAGAGUCUGGCAGAGGGGGGUGGAAUUCCGCGUGUAGCAGUGAAAUGCGUAGAUAUGCGGAGGAACACCGAUGGCGAAGGCAGCCCCCUGGGCCAACACUGACGCUCAUGCACGAAAGCGUGGGGAGCAAACAGGAUUAGAUACCCGCGUAGUCCCUGUCUCUUAUAC